rnacentral:piRNA from 1 species
UAUCCACUGUUUCGCUUUCUU